rnacentral:lncRNA from 1 species
GGUUCAUAAAACAAGUACAUGCCACGUCUAGCCAUGCAGGGGAUGGAGGUGCAGGCCUGCCCAGCCUGGAAGAAGCCUGGUCUAGGGUUAUCUGAGCUUGAAUCACACACUUACACAGCCCCUGGAAUCAUAGCCUAGGUGGGCAGGGCACUGUGACUGUUCCAGCCUGGGACUGGGGAGAGGGAGCUCUUCAAGGAAGCAAGAAGGAUGUCACCUGGCCCCAGGCAACCAUGUAGGGCAGCUGCCAAGACUCAGCCAGCCUGGAGCGGCCACACCCAGCCUCUGGGCACUGCGGCCAGAGGAACCCGAAAAACCCAAAGGGACAAGAACUCCAGGGAAGAAACACACUCCGGCCCCGCAAAAAGCAUGGGAGCAGCUGGACCUGAAGACAUCUCUUCUGCCCGCAAGAGAGGCUUCAGAUGUGCAGCCCUGGAUGUGUUCACACCCUCUGGAGGCAGCCAUGGGUGGGCAGAAGCGCCGGGUGAGUAAGGACCAAUCAUCCACAUCCCCUGGUGUGGCUGAGACCUUCCUAAACUCCUGUACCACACUUUCCAGCCCGGUUUUACAGAGCAGGCUACUGGGGCUUGGAUGGGUCAAGGGACCUACUUAAGUUCACAGAGCCAGCUGGGAAACCUGCAUGUACCAAACACCUACCACACACCAGGCUGCAUUCCAUUCUCAGGAGUUCCCAUCCCCAGGACACAGGAGAGAAAACGCAGAGGCCGGGCACAUCGCAGUCAGGCGGGCCCACCCCCGAAGCAUCUGCCCUCCCCACAUCACUCUCUAGGCCCUGCCACCACCGCUGAGGGGCCGUGGGACUGCCUUUCCCAUCCGGGUCUCUGUCUCAUCUGGACAACAAGGGUGCUGAGGCCUGCCUCUCCCGGGGUUGCUGGUACUCAUCAUCCUCUGUGCCCCACUCCAGCUCCACCUUCCGCCUGAUGGCCUCUGGGAGAGAGACAUGGAUGGCCUCAAUUUAUAGAGAAGGGAAACUGAGGCUCAGGACAAGACUGUGGACACCAGGCAAGACUGGAAACUGGUCUGUCAGAUUCAGCACUGCUCAGCCUCAUUCCACCCAAAACUAAGGUGAAAAGAGCACCAAGAGCUGCAAAAAGGGGGACUCAAAGGAGAGAAGGGGCACUGAAGCUGAGACACUGCCCUGGGGGUGUGGAGAUCUGUGUCGGCAAUGUCAGAUUUCACUGCCUCCUCUGGGUCUUGCCUACACACAUGGACACCCUGCCCUGCCCUUAAGCCCAGGCUCAGCACAUGUGAGGUUCUGUUCAGAAAUUGGUUCCUUGGGCCAUACUAGCUGCUGACUUAUCCACACCAGACUCAUCGUGACUGGUGCAAAAAUGUCCCCUACCUGCAAAGGUGGCAGCCCUGUUUUUAAAUCUCAUCUGAGAGUCUCUGCCUUUUGAUUGAUGAGUUUAAUGCAUUUUCAUUUUAACGAUUAUACAUGAAUUUCUUUCUUUCUUUCGAGAUGGAGUUUCGCUCUUGUUGCCCAAGCUGGAGUGCAAUGGCGCGAUCUCGGCUUACCGAAACCUCCGCCUCCCAGGUUCAAGCAAUUCUCCUGUCUCAGCCUCCCGAGUAGCUGGGAUUACAGGCAUGCGCCACCACAUCCAGCUAAUUUUGUAUUUUUAGUAGAGAUGGGGUUUCUCCAUGUUGGUCAGGCUGGUCUCAAACUCCCGACCUCAGGUGAUCCGCCCACUUCAGCCUCCCAAAGUGCUGGGAUUACAGGCGUGAGCCACCGCGCCCAGCC